AACUUUCGGCAAUGGAUCUCUUGGCUCACACAUCGAUGAAGAACGCAGCGAAACGCGAUAGGUAAUGUGAAUAGCAGAAUUCAGUGAAUCAUCGAAUCUUUGAACGCAUCUUGCGCUUGCUGGUAUUCCGGCAAGCAUGCCUGUUUGAGUGUCAUGAAAAUUAUCAACCAUGACUUGGGUUUAGGCCCUCGUUCUUGGCUUGGAUGUGGGUGCUUGCGGUCUUGUGCUGCUCACCUUAAAAGGAUUAGCUGGACAUGUCUUUUGACUUGGUUCUACUUGGCGUAAUAAGUAUUUCGCUGAGGACAUCCCUUCUGGGGUGGCCAAGACUCUGGCAAACGUCUGCUUUCUAACUCGACUGUCCUCGGACAUCACUUUUUAUGAUCUGGCCUCAAAUCAGGUAGGACUACCCGCUGAACUUAAGCAUAUCAAUAAGCGGAGGCU
rnacentral:misc_RNA from 1 species